UACCUGCUAUCUGUGUAAAUGUUGAU
rnacentral:misc_RNA from 1 species